rnacentral:rRNA from 1 species
CGUUAGCGGCGGACGGGUGAGUAACACGUGGGUAACCUACCUAUAAGACUGGGAUAACUUCGGGAAACCGGAGCUAAUACCGGAUAAUAUUUCGAACCGCAUGGUUCGAUAGUGAAAGGUGGUUUUGCUAUCACUUAUAGAUGGACCCGCGCCGUAUUAGCUAGUUGGUGAGGUAACGGCUUACCAAGGCGACGAUACGUAGCCGACCUGAGAGGGUGAUCGGCCACACUGGAACUGAGACACGGUCCAGACUCCUACGGGAGGCAGCAGAU